UAUCUAAUGGGCUUAACCAUUAAACUGCUUGGGAAACUGAUAGUCUAGAGUGAGGGAGAGGCAGAUGGAAUUGGUGGUGUAGGGGUAAAAUCCGUAGAUAUCACCAAGAAUACCCAUUGCGAAGGCGAUCUGCUGGAACUCAACUGACGCUAAGGCGCGAAAGCGUGGGGAGCAAACAGGAUUAGAUACCCUGGUAGUCCACGCCCUAAACGAUGUACACUAGUUGUUGGGGUGCUAGUCAUCUCAGUAAUGCAGCUAACGCAUUAAGUGUACCGCCUGGGGAGUACGGUCGCAAGAUUAAAACUCAAAGGAAUAGACGGGGACCCGCACAAGCGGUGGAGCAUGUGGUUUAAUUCGAGGAUACGCGAAGAACCUUACCUGGGCUUGAUAUCCUAAGAACCUUUUAGAGAUAAGAGGGUACUAGCUUGCUAGAACUUAGAGACAGGUGCUGCACGGCUGUCGUCAGCUCGUGUCGUGAGAUGUUGGGUUAAGUCCCGCAACGAGCGCAACCCACGUAUUUAGUUGCUAACGGUUCGGCCGAGCACUCUAAAUAGACUGCCUUCGUAAGGAGGAGGAAGGUGUGGACGACGUCAAGUCAUCAUGGCCCUUAUGCCCAGGGCGACACACGUGCUACAAUGGCAUAUACAAUGAGACGCAAUACCGCGAGGUGGAGCAAAUCUAUAAAAUAUGUCCCAGUUCGGAUUGUUCUCUGCAACUCGAGAGCAUGAAGCCGGAAUCGCUAGUAAUCGUAGAUCAGCCAUGCUACGGUGAAUACGUUCCCGGGUCUUGUACUCACCGCCCGUCACACCAUGGGAGUUGAUUUCACUCGAAGCCGGAAUACUAAACAUUUUAUACGG
rnacentral:rRNA from 1 species